rnacentral:lncRNA from 1 species
CAAAGCAUAUGGUUAAUAAAACAUAUUGAGGAUGAAUGAGAAAACAACCUGGUUCCUGGAAGGAGAGAAACAAGGUGGAGUCUUCUCACAGAAACAAGGAGAAGGUCAGAGAGACCUCCGGGAGCAUCUGAUCUUGGAGACACCACAAGCUCAAGAGGCUGCAUCAGCGUUUCUUAUUGGAGGCAUUUUCUUUUCCUCCAGAUUUUGUUUUUGACUGUUAAGGUAGCUUGUCAUAGCUACAAACAAUUGAUCAAGCCUAAAAGGGCAUUUAUAAACCACCUAUAUCUACAUUUUUUUCUUACUGUCGAUGGAUUUAAAAAGCUGUUUCAAGAUGAAAUCUUACGAGUCUUUUUCAUGUCUUUGGAGGGCUGAGAU